CCUACGGGUGGCAGCAGUGGGGAAUAUUGGGCAAUGGACGCAAGUCUGACCCAGCAACGCCGCGUGAAUGAUGAAGGUCUUCGGAUUGUAAAGUUCUGUGAUGGGGGAUGAACACAAUGCCGGUACCCCCAUAUCAAGCCACGGCUAACUACGUGCCAGCAGCCGCGGUAAUCCGUAGGUGGCAAGCGUUAUCCGGAUUGCUUGGGCGUAAAGGGUGAGUAGGUGGUUUAGUAAGUUGGCGGUGUAAUUCCGGGGCUCAACCUCGGCGCUACCGCCAAAACUAGUAGACUAGAGUGCAGGAGGGGUAAGUGGAAGUCCUAGUGUAGCGGUGGAAUGCGUAGAUAUUAGGAGGAACAUCAGGGGCGAAGGCGACUUACUGGACUGUAACUGACACUGAGGCACGAAAGCGUGGGGAGCAAACAGGAUUAGAUACCCGGGUAGUG
rnacentral:rRNA from 1 species